GAGUCAUUUUGUCUUUCCCAACCUCAAAGGGGUGAGGAAGGGCAAUCCUGUUAUGUGCACAGAAUGAGAGAACUCCAGGCUAUUUGUGAAAAGUUCAAAUCCCUGCCCUAGUUACGUAUUCUGGUAAGAGCUACUAAGAAAAUACUACAUUCUCCAUCUCAUUACGAUAAAUUAUAUCAACUGUAAUAUUUAUCCUUGUGAUUUCUAUCUAAUGGCUUCCUAUUGAUUUCUAGUAAGCAGAGAAAGCUUUUUUUACCCAUUUAAAUAUGGGGAGAUAACUAAAUGCUCCCUGUCAACUUUUCUUCUCUGCAUUAAACACCUUCCCAUGCACCCCCUCCCCUACUUUCUUCCUAUGAUGUAACUUCCAACCCUUUACCAUCUGGUCACUAUCUACUUGGUUAUAGCUGACUGUUAUGUGAAUGUGAUGGGAAAAAAAAAAUAGAAAAGGGGGUUUCUUUUAGGGAUAAGUCAAAGAUGACUGUUUGUGUAACCCUUUAUUUUUGUUCACUGGCACCACCUACAAAAGAGCAGCAGUUUUUCAACCCUUGGCAACAACAGAAUCACCUGCAGAAACAAAGUGGUGAGGUCCAGGCUUCUCCACCAGCGACUCUGAUUCAACUGGCCUUGCCUGGGCCUGGGUAUCUGUACUGUUUUGCAGUUUUGUUAUCUAUAGCUACAUAACAAACCAACCCCAAAUUGAGGAACUUAAAGCAAAAAUAGUCAUUUUACUAUUAUCUUUCCUGGUCCUGGAGGCCGACUAGAAUCAAAUAUAUAAAAAACAAAUGAACAUUUUAAGAGAAUUUUAUGGGCAAACAAAAGCCACCAGCUUGGAGUAAAAGAGACUGAACCCAUUUGGUAUUUAAAGCAAACUUUGGCUCCCCCAAUAUUUUAUAGGUAGGGGGGAGGCUGAGGGCUCUGCUUAGCACCCAAGGAGACCAUAUUCCUUUUUAGAUUAGGCAAAGGAGGACUGUGAAAAAGUGGACCUCUCAGUGGGCAGAACCAAGGACCACGGAGAAGAGUGGACUGGGUAGUUUCUGUAGGGGAAAAGAAUCGGGGUGCUAAAUGUGCCCCACCCUUAGGACAAGGGGCUGCUCACCAUACCUGCCCAGUAGGUCUUCAGAUUUACUGGGGGGGGGGGGGUCAGUGACUGGUAAAUGACUUCCCAUGCAUCCACUUCCCAAUGGGAGUGUUAAUUGUGUCCCUGUCCCUAACUGAAUAUUGAGUUUGUGUGUGGGAGCAAGUGACUUAAUUUUUCAGGUGUCCCCCAUCUAAAGGAGGCAGGCACAUCCAAACCUUCUAUAGUGGUGCUUGUGCCUUAUGCACCAGUCCUGGACUUUGAGCUCAGAGCAGCACCUGCAGGGGAAUUGGGGGUUGUCUCCCUUGGGGAGGGAUAAGUGUCCUCUUAGAUGGGCAGGGGAGGGAAAUGCGUGUUUGGUGUGCAGAGUACAGACUAUGGUGGAUUAUGUUAAUAUUUACCAAAUAUUGUGGCACCUUUCUCUGCAGGGCCUCUCCCUGCGGUGGGAGGGCUCUACAUCCUGGUCCUUUUGUGUUCAGUGUUACAUUUGACUUGCUUUGACCAAUGACAUGUGAGUGUCAGAGGUGACAGGAGCCACUUUUGAGCAGAAGGGUUAAGAAUCAUGGUGUUCACCUUUCCCUCUGCUAUGACACCUGACAAUGUUCCAGAUAGAAGCUGCUUUCCCAUUCGCUGUGCUGGAAUAAAGAUGGCACAGAACAAAGCCACAGCCAGCCCAUAAUGAAUGCAGCAUAUGAAAAAUUAAACUUAUGUUGUAAGACCCUGGAUGAUAAUAUUAAUGGAGAGGGCUUGGCACCCUGACAGCCCUGAGGAGCCUUGGGUCCCUCUUGCAUGAUGGCUACCAGCAGCAAAGGGACAUAGCCUUUCAACCGCCCAAUUUUCUUGUCCUCUCUGAGGAAGACUCAUUCCCUUCACAUUGAUGCCUGCCAUCAACAGUAGGUGAUAGAGAGCCUCCUGGAGAGUGCCAGUCUCCAGAGAGCCUCCUGUUGACAGUUUUCAUCUCUGUAGAGCAGAGAAUGUGGGAAGAUCUUUGGUAUUCUAGGUUCUGGGCUAAUGAAAGCUUGCUGGACAUAGUCAGGUAUUUCAAGAGGGUGGCCAUUCAGAGGGUCCUUUUGUCCUUACUUGCUGGGGUUUUCUGUUGCCCUGGUGACAUCUCAGUCUUGGCUUUCUCAUUACAUGAUGAAGACAUUGGUGGUGACAAUGGAAAGGAUGAGAAGAUGAAAGAGGUCAUACCAUACCUGGUUCUAUGCAGCAGAACUGAGGCUCAAGUAUCGAGCGCUGUGAUUUGCCUUUGUGCAGCCCUUUGUGUUGUGAGAUGACCAGAUGACAUAUUCGUAUAUUGAUGAUUUUAAAUGUGUGCAUGGCUGAGAAGAUCAUACCAAUUAAUUUUCAUGCAGAAGUCAAGCAUGCCUUGCACAGGGCUCAUCCAUAGCCAAUCAGCCGUUGACUGUUAAUAGCCACCUGGAGUGCUGUGCUGAGGAUCAGAUCUUCUCAUGGCUGGCCCUGUCUCAUUGGUCAAGUUUCUCCCAAAUGGUGACUGCUACAGAGAGGACAUUAACCACCCUAGCUAAAGUGACAUCCCUCCCCCACACUCUAGGCCAUACUCUAGCUCCUUUCCUUCCUUAACUCUCUUUCUAGCACCUCUCAUUAUCUGAAAUGAUCUUUCUUUCCUGUGUGUUCUCUCUUCUUCUAGAAUGUGAGCUCCAAGAGGACAAGGACUUUGUCUCUCUUAUCCACUACGAUGUCUCUGUGCUUAUUAGAGAGCUGACAUGUAGGAAAAAACUCAAUAAAUAAAU